AGUGAACGCUGGCGGUAGGCCUAACACAUGCAAGUCGAACGGCAGCACAGGAGAGCUUGCUCUCUGGGUGGCGAGUGGCGGACGGGUGAGGAAUACAUCGGAAUCUACUCUGUCGUGGGGGAUAACGUAGGGAAACUUACGCUAAUACCGCAUACGACCUACGGGUGAAAGCAGGGGACCUUCGGGCCUUGCGCGAUUGAAUGAGCCGAUGUCGGAUUAGCUAGUUGGCGGGGUAAAGGCCCAACAAGGCGACGAUCCGUAGCUGGUCUGAGAGGCUGAGCAGACACACUGGAACUGAGACACGGUACAGACUCCUAAGGGAGGCAGCAGUGGGGAAUAUUGGACAAUGGGCGCAAGCCUGAUCCAGCCAUACCGCGUGGGUGAAGAAGGCCUUCGGGUUGUAAAGCCCUUUUGUUGGGAAAGAAAUCCAGCUGGCUAAUACCCGGUUGGGAUGACGGUACCCAAAGAAUAAGCACCGGCUAACUUCGUGCCAGCCGCCGCCGUAA
rnacentral:rRNA from 1 species